rnacentral:rRNA from 1 species
AUUGAACGCUGGCGGCAGGCUUAACACAUGCAAGUCGAGCGGAGAUGAGGUGCUUGCACCUUAUCUUAGCGGCGGACGGGUGAGUAAUGCUUAGGAAUCUGCCUAUUAGUGGGGGACAACAUUCCGAAAGGAAUGCUAAUACCGCAUACGUCCUACGGGAGAAAGCAGGGGAUCUUCGGACCUUGCGCUAAUAGAUGAGCCUAAGUCGGAUUAGCUAGUUGGUGGGGUAAAGGCCUACCAAGGCGACGAUCUGUAGCGGGUCUGAGAGGAUGAUCCGCCACACUGGGACUGAGACACGGCCCAGACUCCUACGGGAGGCAGCAGUGGGGAAUAUUGGACAAUGGGGGGAACCCUGAUCCAGCCAUGCCGCGUGUGUGAAGAAGGCCUUAUGGUUGUAAAGCACUUUAAGCGAGGAGGAGGCUACUGAGACUAAUACUCUUGGAUAGUGGACGUUACUCGCAGAAUAAGCACCGGCUAACUCUGUGCCAGCCGCCGCCGCCG